rnacentral:rRNA from 1 species
GCAUUUCAAGGAAGGAGCAGGCGCGCAAUUACCCAAUCCUGACUCAGGGAGGUAGUGACAAGAAAUAACAAUAAACCGGCUUAUGCCGGUUUAAUUGGAAUGAGUACAAUUUAAACAUCUUAACGAGGAACAAUUGGAGGGCAAGUCUGGUGCCAGCAGCCGCGGUAAUUCCAGCUCCAAUAGCGUAUACUAAAGUUGUUGCAGUUAAAAAGCUCGUAGUUGGAUUUCUGUGGGGACGGAGCGGCCGGCCGCACAUCGCGGUUCGAGCUAGCGCUUUCCCUACAUCCUGCCGCGAACCGUGCUACCAUUAGUUUGGUGGCGCCGGGGAUCGGCUCGAUUACUUUGAGAAAAAUAGAGUGUUCAAAGCAGGCCACAUGCCUUGAAUAAGUUAGCAUGGAAUAAUAACUAAGGACUUCGGUUCUAUUUUGUUGGUGUUCGGGACUGAAGUAAUGAUUGAUAGGGACAGUUGGGGCGGUCUGUAUUCCAAAGCGAGAGGUGAAAUUCUUAGACCUUCGGAAGACAAACAGCUGCGAACGCGUUCCGCAAGGAUGUUCCCUUUGAUCAAGAACGAAAGUUGGGGGAUCGAAGACGAUCAGAUACCGUCGUAGUCUCAACUAUAAACUAUACCAGCUAGGGAUCGGCCAACGUUAUUUCAAACCGACUUGGUCGGCACCUUAUGAGAAAUCAAAGCAUCUGGGUUCCGGGGGGAGUAUGGUCGCAAGGCUGAAACUUAAAGGAAUUGACGGAAGGGCACCACCAGCCGUGGAGCCUGUGGCUUAAUUUGACUCAACACGGGAAAACUUACCAGGUCCAGACAUAGUAAGGAUUGACAGAUUGAUAGCUCUUUCUUGAUUCUGUGGGUGGUGGUGCAUGGCCGUUCUUAGUUGGUGGAGUGAUUUGUCUGGUUAAUUCCGUUAACGAACGAGACCCCAGCCUGCUAAAUAGCGCGCGUGAGCUUUGCUCGCGGCGAGCUUCUUAGAGGGACUAUGAUGCGCGAUAGCACAUGGAAGUUUGGGGCAAUAACAGGUCUGUGAUGCCCUUAGAUGUUCUGGGCCGCACACGGGCUACACUGGCGCCUGCAACGAGCAUAUCAGCUGGUCCGAGAGGAUCUUGGCUAAUCUUUUGAACCGGCGCCGUGCUAGGGAUUGACCUUUGCAAUUGUUGGUCAUGCAACGAGGAAUGCCUUGUAAACGCGAGUCAUCAGCUCGCAUUGAAUACGUCCCUGCCCUUUGUACACACCGCCCGUCGCUCCUACCGAUGAAUGUUCCGAUGAAAUUUUCGGAGAGUGCCUGUGAACUUGGCUCUGCCUUGCGAACGGGAAGCUCAAAGUCACUAAAAUCUGACCAUUUA